UCCUCCGAGGCACCGUAAGCCUCCUUCGCCGAGCUCUUGGUUCUUAUAGAUCAACUCUUGUGUCGUUUCGUAAUAAGAGAAAGGCAAUUCCACAACGUAUCUUUAUAUCCGAGUGUUUCCCUAAACGAAAACGCAGAAACGAAGAGAAAAAAAAGUUUUUUUUUCAUCAGAAUUGUUUUCGUCCUUCUUGCACUCUCUCUAUUCCCCCCCCCCCCCCCCUUCCCUUCUUCUUCUCCCAGAUCUUUCCUAAUACUAAUUUCUGUUAUGACCGAGAUUUUAAGUGCUUGACAGUGUUCGCCGUUCGCCAUGGUAAUACGCACGGUCGUUCAGGGAGUCGAUUUCCACUGAAGUAUUUAAGCUGUCGUCCGAAAGUGUGAAUCCAAAGUGAUUUCAGAAUACGCAAUGAAGGGGUCGACGGGCGGCUCCUGGAUGUGAACUGAGAGGAAGUGAGGACAUCGUAAGUGGCACCAACAUGGCACCUUCAGCACUACGAAGCUGGUUACCCUACCUCCUGCUGGGCGUGUGGGCAGCUCACCACGCCCACGCUCGGGACACCCACGCCCUCACCAAGUAUCGCUGGGUUACAGGUGAGUUAAAGAUGAGGUGAGGCUGUGAGGCGCUUAAGGUAAGAUGUGGGGCUUUUCUCCAGGCAGGCAACCAGCUCUUCAUCUAAGACUUUAUUUGAAAAGGCAUAUAUAUAUACAUAU